UCCAACAUGAAAAAUGGAAGGGAUGGUAUUAUUGUGAGAAAGUUGAUGGAGGAAUCAAUUUUCAUGUGUGUAGUCUGAAGGAAGGAACACUUAACUGGGAAAUGUUGCAAUUCAAGCCAAAAUUUCCACGUCAAGUAUUGCUUUGCAGAGUUGGGGAAUUUUAUGAAGCUUGGGGAAUAAAUGUAUGUAUUCUUGUUGAAUAUGAGGGUUUAAAUCCUUUUGGCGGUCUGCAAUCAGAUAGUAUCCCGAGAGCUGGUUGUCCUGUUGUGGUAUUUUUAUUUUUGUCGGCAAACUUUUAUAUUGAUGCUGCCAUUUGUUUUGGUUAUUUUCUUUUCUCAUGAAAUUUAAUUUUUAUAUUGAUAAUUGUGAAUGAACUUCUUAUAUGUAUAAUAAUCACUUUCUUCCUUUCUUUGGUCAAAGAAUCUUCGACAAACUUUAGAUGAUCUGACACAAAGCGGUUAUUCAGUGUGCCUGCCAUCUUACCAGUCUAUGAGUACAUGCUGCUAAUAAAUUUUGGUCUCAACACUGCAUUGUGGAGGAGGCAGGCUCAGGGCCCAACUCAAGCUCGAUCCAGGAAACGUCUCUUUAUAUCUGGAUUAAAAGAAGGAAGGGGCAUAUGGACAGAGGUUAAGGCAUCAUCCAUAACAGACAGAAAUCCAACUUGAAAUUGAAAAUAAGCAAUAUGGUUAUUGGAGUAAGUAUUACAACUUCUAUAACUGUGAACUACAGUGUUUGAAUAUAGCUUCUCUACAGUUAGUUCCAAUUACUUCAGAUUUCUCUAUGGUUAUUGCUUAGCUGUAAUUGAGUCAACUUACCUACCUUACAUAGUUGGGUUUUGUAUGGAUGAGAUCAGUUUUAUGAAAUAAUAA